rnacentral:lncRNA from 1 species
UUUGCUGUGGAGGUGACAUAUCACUAUCAGCACCUUCUCUCAAAGGCUUCACCCUCCGUUUUGGUGAAGGUGUAUCAUUUCUCGCCCUUCGUUUCCGAGGUGGUGACAGAUCAGCACCUGCUCUGUUUGCUAAAGGUUCUGGUGAAGGUGUGUCAUUCCGAACCCUCCGUUUCCUUGGAGGAGAUAAAUCAGUACCAUCUGUUCGGUUUACUAAAGGUUCUGGUGAAGGUGUGUCAUUCCGAACCCUAUGUUUCCUAGGAGGAGAUAAAUCAGUACCAUCUGCUCUGUUUACUAAAGGUUCUGGUGAGGGUGUGCCAUUCCUAACCCUCCGCUUCCAAGGAGGAGAUAAAUCAGUACCACCUCUAGAAGCCUUAAGUCGAGGUUCUGGUGAACCAGCCCGAGCUGGCCUCCUGCUAGGAGGUGACAAAUCAGAAUCUUCUCUUGUUAAUGUUGUCUCAUUAUGAGCCCUACUUCUCCUUGGCGGUGACAAAUCAGAUUUCAAACCAGGGGAACGUGGUUUUCUCGGAGGUGACAAAUCCUUAGCUUCUAUUUCAGAGUUUGAGUGCCUCAACCCAGGUUCUGGAGAAGGUGUGUCAUU